UACCAGCACCCCGAGUGGUCGGGACGAUUAUUGGGCCUAAAGCAUCCGUAGCCGGUUCUGCAAGUCUUCCGUUAAAUCCAGCCGCUCAACGGAUGGGCCGCGGAGGAUACUAUAGGACUAGGAGGCAGGAGAGGCAAGCGGUACUCAGUGGGUAGGGGUAAAAUCCGUUGAUCCAUUGAAGACCACCAGUGGCGAAGGCGGCUUGCCAGAAUGCGCUCGACGGUGAGGGAUGAAAGCUGGGGGAGCAAACCGG
rnacentral:rRNA from 1 species